CUACGGGUUGCUCCAGUCGAGAAUCUUCCGCAAUGGACGAAAGUCUGACGGAGCGACGCCGCGUGCGGGAUGAAGGCCUUCGGGUUGUAAACCGCUGUCAGUGGGGAGGAAAUGCAUCAGGGUUCUCCCUGGUGUUUGACCGAUCCGCAGAGGAAGCGCAGGCUAAGUUCGUGCCAGCAGCCGCGGUAACACGAACUGCGCGAACGUUAUUCGGAAUCACUGGGCUUAAAGAGUUCGUAGGCGGCCUUUCAAGUCGGGUGUGAAAUCCCUCGGCUCAACCGAGGAAUUGCGCCUGAUACUGUUGGGCUUGAGGGGGAUAGGGGUGAGCGGAACUGAUGGUGGAGCGGUGAAAUGCGUUGAUAUCAUCAGGAACACCGGUGGCGAAGGCGGCUCACUGGAUCUCUUCUGACGCUGAGGAACGAAAGCUAGGGGAGCGAACGGGAUUAGAUACCCCUGUAGUC
rnacentral:rRNA from 1 species